CGACCUCAUUUCAGGAGGGAUUACCCACUGAGUUUAUGCAUAUCAAUAAGUGAAGGAAAAAAAACUUACAAGGAUUCCCUUAGUAACGGCGAGCGAAAAAAGAAUAGCCCAGCCUUAGAAUCGGGCGGCUUCGCCACCCUAAUUGUAGUCUGUAGAAGCGUGCUCAUCGGCGGACCAAGACCAAGUUCUUUGGAAGGGGGCGCCAAAGAAUGUGAGAGCCCCAUUGUGCCCAGACCCUAUCACACCAUGAGAUGCUAUCUACGAGUUGGGUUGUUUGGUAAUGCAACACAAAUAGGGCGAUGAAUUCCGUCCAAGGCUAAAUACAAGCGAGAGACCGAUAGCAAACCAGUACCGCGAGGGAAAGAUGAAAAGAACUUUGAAAAUAGAGUCAAAAAGUGCUUGAAAUUGUCAGGAGGAAAGUCGAUGGGGGCCAGAGAUGCACCUCGAUCAGAUGUAGAACAACGACAACCUGGUCUGCCGAUCGACUUGGGGUGUAAACCAGCGUGGAUUGUGGGGUACCAAAGCCAAGGCUCUCGAUAUGCUAAAAGAAUUCUGUCUAUUUGAUUAUGGUUAGCAGCGCUCUCCUCUGGUGUGCUUCGACAUCUUCACACUCCGAAUGCUGGUCAGUAGGCUCCACAUUCGACCAGUCUUGAAACACAAACCUAGGAGUCUAACAUGUGUGCGAGUCAACAGGCGAGUAAACACGUAAGGCAUAAGGAAACUGAUUGGUUUAAUCCCCUUGAAGGGUGCACCGCCGACCGACCUUGAUCUUAUGAGAAGGGUUUGAGUGUGAGCAUACCUAUUGGGACCCGAAAUAUGGUGAACUAUGCCUGAGCGGGACAAAGCCAGAGAAAACUCUGGUGGUGGUGUGUACCGAUACUGACAUACAAAUAAUUUUUCUGACUUGGGCAUAGGGGCGAAAGACUAAUUGAACUGUCUAGUAGAUGGUUCUCUCCGAAGUUUCCCUCAGGAUAGUUGGAGAUCUCAUGCAAGUUCUAUCGGGUAAACCCAAUGAUUAGAGGCAUCAGUGGCACAACACCCUCGACUUAUUCUCAAACUUUAAAAAGGUAGGAUGACACGACGGCUUUGUUGAGCCGUGCCACAAAAUCAAGAGCUCCAAGUAGGCUAUAUUUGGUAAGAAGAACCAGUGAUACGGGAUGAACUGGAAGUCUAGUUACGGUAUGAAACUGUGCGCUAACCUAGAUCCCACAAAGGGUGUUGGUCAAUUAAGGCAAUAGGAUGGUGGUCAUGGAAGUUGAAAUACGCUAUGGAUUGUGUAACAACUCACCUGCCGUAUCAACUAGCCCCAAAAAUGAAUGGCACAUAAGCGCGUGACCUACACCCAGCCAUCGGGCCAAGUGCUAUGUCCCGAUGAGUAAGAGGGAAUGACGGUCACCACAAAACCUUGGGCGCGAGCCCGGGCGCGAACAGUUGUCAGUGCAGAUCUUGGUGGUAGUAACAAAUAUUAAAAUGAGAAAUUUGAAGGUCGAAGAAGGGAAAGGUUCCAUGUUCACGACACUUGCACAUGGUUUAGUCGAUCCUAAGGGUUGGGGGAACCCUGAUAGAUAACACAUUAUGCAUAUACUCUGAAAGGGAAUCAGGUUAAAAUUUCUGAACCGGGACAUGGCGGUCGACGAUAAUGUUAGGAAGUCCAGAGACAUUGGUGGAAGCCUCGGGAAGAGUUAUAUUUUCUUUUUAACAGUCUUCCCACCCUGGAAUCGGCUCAGCCAGAGGUAGGGUCUAGCGGCUGGAAGAGAACCACACGUCGUGUGGUGUCUGGUGUGCUCCCGACGGCUCUUGAAAAUCUGGAGAACCAAAUAUCGUCUAUGUCUGGUCGUACUCAUAACUGCAUCAAGUCUCUAAGGUGAACAACCUCUGGUCGAUGGAAUAAUGUAGGCAAGAAUAGUCAGUAAAAUGGAUCCAUAACUUUGGGAAAAGAAUUAGAUGUGAGGGAUAGUCACAGUGGUCCCAGUCCAAAACCCAUCGGUUGUCAGUGGACUACUUGAGCUACUCCCACAGUGAGAGAAGGUUACCACGGGAUGACCGGGGGACGAACUGGGAAUGGUUCCUUUAGGUGACUUCCCCGCGCAUCGAACAGCUAACUUAGAACUAGUUCAAACAAGGGAAAUCCAACCGUUUAAUUAAAACAAAGCAUUGUGAUGGUCCUAAAGAAUGUUCAUGCAAUGUGAUAUCUUCCCAGUGCUCUGAAUGUCAAAGUGAAGAAAUUCAACCAAGCACAGGUUAACAGGGAGAGUAACUAUGACUCUCUUAAGGCUGCCAAAUGCCUCUUCAUGUAAUUAGUGACACACAUGAAUAGAUUAACGAGAUUCCCACUGUCCCUGUCUACAGUCCAGCAAAACCACAACAAAGGGAAUAGGUUUGGCAGAAUCAGCGGGGAAAGAAGACCCUAUUGAUCUUGACUCUAGUUUGACUUUGUGAAAUGUCUUGAGAGGUGUAGUAUAAGUGGGAGCCGAAAGGCGAAAGUGAGAUACCACUACUUUUAACAUUAUUUUUCUUAUUCUAUGAAUCGAAAAUCGGGCACUGCCCCUCUUUUUGGACCUAAGGCUUACUUUGCGGGCCGAUCAGGGUGAAAAACAUUGUCAGGUAGGGAGUUUAUUGGGGAGGUACAUCUAUUAAAAGAAAACAUAGGUGUCCUAAGAUGAGCUCAACGAGAACAAAAAUCUCAUAUGUAAUAGAAGGUUAAAAGGUCAUUUGAUUCUAAUUUCUAGUACGAAUACGAACCGUGAAAGUGUGGUCUAACGAUCCUUUAGAUCGGUUAAAUUUAAAGCUAGACGUGUCAGAAAAGUUACCACAGGGAUAACUGGCUUGUGGCAGCCAAACGUUCAUAGAGAUAUUGCUUUUUGAUCCUUCGAUGUUGGCUCUUCCUAUCAUUGUAAUGCAGAAUUCACCAAGUGUUGGAUUGUUCACCAUCCAAUAGAGAAUGUGAGCUGGGUUUAGACCAUCGUGAUAAAGGUUAAUUUUACCCUACUAAUGACAGUGUCACAAUAGUAAUUCAACAUAGUAUGAGAGGAACUAUUGAUUCACAUAAUUGGUCAUCACAUUUGGUUGAAAAGCCAAUGGCACGAAGCUACUAUGUGCUGGAUUAUGACUGAACACCUCUAAGUCAAAAUUUGGGCUAGAAGAGAUAUAUGCACCCGUCGUUUGCUUCUCGAACCAUAUCAAGGACCUCGACCUCAAAGGGAACGUGUUGUUGGCUAAGCCAUCGCGGUAGAAGGGUCGUAGUGUCCUCCUUGAAGUACAAUUUCCAUCGAGUAGUGGGUAGUAUUCUUUGCAGAUAACAUAAUUACACAAUGGGUGAUUAUAAGUGCCAGAGUGGCCUUACUGUAAUGAUCCAGUGAGAUUCAUCCCUUUGUCACUCUGGUUCGU
rfam:Capsicum annuum cultivar Zunla-1 chromosome 2, whole genome shotgun sequence